GAAUGGCAAACAAGUUGAAGUGAAACCGGCCCUUCCUAAAGAUGCCAAUCCUGGUGGGGCUAGCCGGUCUAUGGGUGGUGGUGCCGGUGGUUUUGGAGGUUACCAGGGAUAUGGUUCUUCUGGUGGGAAUUCAAGUUCUUAUGAUGGUCGUAUGGACUCCAAUUACAUGCGUGCCCAGGGCACUGGAGCUGGCUUUCCACCUUAUGGUUCAUCAGGAUAUGCACCUGGUUAUGGUUAUGGUCCUGCUAGUAAUGGUGUUGGUUAUGGUAGUUAUGGCAAUUAUGGUGGUGCAGGUGCUGGUUAUGGUGCCCCUGCCGGUGCAGCUUAUGGGAAUCCCAAUGCUGGCUAUGCAAGUGGGCCUCCUGGUGCCCCUAGAAGUUCAUGGGGCACUCAAACUCCAUCUGGUUAUGGUGCUAUGGGUUAUGGGAAUGCUGCUCCUUGGGGUGCUGGUCCUGGUAGCGGUGGUCCAGGUUCUGCAGCUACUGGCCAAUCACCCACUGGAGCUACUGGGUACGGCGGUCAAGGUUAUGGAUAUGGGGGAUAUGGAGGUAAUGAUGGAUCUUAUGGGAACGCUGGUUAUGGGGCUGCUGGAGGUCGUUCUGGUGGUACUCCAAAUAGUAAUGCUAGUGCAGGUGGGGGAGAUAUGCAAGGGAGCGGUGGUGGUUACAUGGGAGGUGGAUAUGGUGAUGUAAAU
rnacentral:lncRNA from 1 species